AGGACGAACGCUGGCGGCGUGCUUAACACAUGCAAGUCGAGCGGUAAGGCUCCUUCGGGAGUACACGAGCGGCGAACGGGUGAGUAACACGUGAGCAAUCUGCCCAUCACAUCGGGAUAACUUCGGGAAACCGAAGCUAAUACCGAAUACAACCACUUCAGGCAUCUGACGGUGGUGGAAAUGUUCCGGCGGUGAUGGAUGAGCUCGCGGCCUAUCAGCUUGUUGGUGGGGUAAUGGCCUACCAAGGCUUCGACGGGUAGCCGGCCUGAGAGGGUGACCGGCCACACUGGGACUGAGACACGGCCCAGACUCCUACGGGAGGCAGCAGUGGGGAAUAUUGGACAAUGGGCGAAAGCCUGAUCCAGCAACGCCGCGUGAGGGAUGACGGCCUUCGGGUUGUAAACCUCUUUCAGCGCCGACGAAGCGAAGUGACGGUAGGCGCAGAAGAAGCACCGGCCAACUACGUGCCAGCAGCCGC
rnacentral:rRNA from 1 species